rnacentral:rRNA from 1 species
UACGUAGGGUGCAAGCGUUGUCCGGAAUUAUUGGGCGUAAAGAGCUCGUAGGCGGUUUGUCGCGUCUGCUGUGAAAACUCGGGGCUUAACUCCGGGCCUGCAGUGGGUACGGGCAGACUAGAGUGCGGUAGGGGAGACUGGAAUUCCUGGUGUAGCGGUGAAAUGCGCAGAUAUCAGGAGGAACACCGGUGGCGAAGGCGGGUCUCUGGGCCGUAACUGACGCUGAGGAGCGAAAGCGUGGGGAGCGAGCAGG